UAGUGGGAUUUAAGCAUUCUGGUUUCAUGAUAUGGCAUUUGUGUAGUCUAUGUAAUUCCAUUUGUACUUUCUUAUAUGUUGUAUCAUUUCAUAUAGGUUGUAGUUUUUUUGUUAAGAGCGUUGGAUCUUGAUUUAGGUGUAGUCCUGCAUAUUGUCAAUGCAGAGCAACUAAUGGAAUAUUUUAUAAUUUUGGCACUUCAAAAUAUUUUGUGUGCUUUGUGGUUGUCUUUCCUUUUAAUGUAAGUGUUGUUUAUUCAAAAAAAUAAAAUAGAUUAUUAUCUACUUAGACUCAACAUUGUAAAGUUUCUCAAUUUUACAUGCAGG
rnacentral:lncRNA from 1 species